CGAGUCCUACGGGACGCAGCAGUGAGGGAUAUUGCUCAAUGGGGGAAACCCUGAAGCAGCAACGCCGCGUGGAGGAUGAAGGUUUUAGGAUUGUAAACUCCUUUUGUUAGAGAAGAUUAUGACGGUAUCUAACGAAUAAGCACCGGCUAACUCCGUGCCAGCAGCCGCGGUAAUACGGAGGGUGCAAGCGUUACUCGGAAUCACUGGGCGUAAAGAGUGCGUAGGCGGGGUAAUAAGUCAGAUGUGAAAUCCUGUAGCUUAACUACAGAACUGCAUUUGAAACUGUUACUCUGGAGUGUGGGAGG
rnacentral:rRNA from 1 species